rnacentral:rRNA from 1 species
AAAGAUGAUGAGGUUAAUAGGUUCGAGGUGGAAGCAUGGUGACAUGUGGAGCUGACGAAUACUAAUCGAUCGAAGACUUAAUCAAA